CGUAAUAACAGAAACUAACCAGGAUUCCCUUAGUAACGGCGAGUGAACUGGGAUACCAAUAUAUUUAUGCGUCUCUGGCGCAUAUUUUUAGCCCGUCGAUACUAUCCUAGCGUAUUACCGGUUUCGGCCGGUAGCCCAUUACGCGGGAAUUGUAGCAUCGUAAUAAAAUAUACACCAUGCCUGCGUCGCAAACGUAUAUACACGUAUACUCACACACACACACAUACUCUCGUACGCGUACACACCCCUUGCAAACACACAGCGCUCCCGCGUUGGAAAGCAAGUCUAUAUCCUCUUUGGAUAUGCCAUAGAGUGUGACAGCCACGUUUGAAACACCCUAACGUACCGUCCACACACAUAAGUAAAAAAUACGCGCUGCUUCGCAUACGCAUACCGUAUAUAACCUGAGUCGAGUUAUUU
rnacentral:rRNA from 1 species